GUGGCUACUUGGGGCUAAGAAAAAAGCUCUGCCCUGAAGGUCAAUGGGAAGGACAGCUAGUGCAGCUCCUGAGUGCAGACCAAGGAAGGCAUUCACCUGCAUGAAAAUUGGGCCUGCUGUGCAUGACAGUGAACUACUACUACUGGAUGGAUACUGAUGCCUUUAAGAGAGUCCUAAUUUCAAUCUUCUGUCAUGGAGAAUAUCCAAUCAAAUUAGAAGUGAAACAAGUCAAAGUAAGCUUUUUUGAAAACAAUAUUAUCUGUGAUUUUGGUGAAAAGAUACAUUUCUCCAUUAAAAUUGUAUUUAUUUUUAAAAAAUGUCAAUAUGGUUCGUGCCCCAUUUACAACCCAACACACUUAGAUUAUCCAUCAUUGCCACCAGAUACAAAAGUUGCAACUUUUUUUAUUUUCAUAAACUUACUAUUUUGACAUGUAAAGAAGAGUCAUUUUGUAAAAUUCUAAACUUUUACAAAGGUAAGAAAUGGUGAAAUAAUAACAACAUUUGUCUUCUGUCAAAAAAUAUUGACAUGAUAUUACUAUAGCAAAAUUGGUUUGUGUUGUGAAGUAUGUCUCAAAGAUAAAUCAGACUUUAUAUAUUUUUUUAAACAAUCUAAAUUGUUCUUUGGAUAUUAAUGUCUAUAAAAACAUCAGGACAUAUAAGUGCAGGAAGAGAUUCUAUAAAGUAGACAUAAAAUUUGGAUAAGAACCUUGAAAUUCCCUGAACACUCAUAUGCCACAUUUGACAUUGACUCAAGUCAUUUUCGAAGUAUAAUGUGACAUAUUUCAUAUUUCAUUAGUGUCUAAAUUGUGGACUUCUUGGGCAAAAUAAAAGCCCUUUGUAAAUUGCUAAGAAAUGACUGUUUACUGUUUUUGCAAGAUUCUACUCAGAGAACUGGGCAAAGAAAGGGUGUACUAUGUGAAUGAAAAAAUAAAAAUUUAUAUAGCAAAUUCAUGUAAUGGUGAAGAACCCAGAGGAUUAAAACAUUGGCAGAAAAUGCUCUUAGCAGUGAAAGUGAACGAUGGUCUACUAGUCAGCAAUAUCUAAAGUUGGAAGUCUAUCUCACUUCUUGUUCCUUAUCCACGCCCAUCAACCGCAUGCCAGACUCAAACACCUAGUGCCAUCUAGGUGUUUCAUCUGUCUAAUGAGACUGAUAAAGCAACAGGACAUGGAAAUGCGGACAAGGCUGCCUUUCAUACUUAAAGUCUUUGUUUUGAUAUUGUUAAGGAGGAAAAAAAAUAAACCAUAAGCAAAAUGUGAUUUAAUUUAACUGGCUUUAAGAUAGUAAAUUGAGAAAUGAUAAUAAUUCAAUUUAUUUGCUUUCAAAUUGAUAACAAAAUUGAAAUUCACCUCAUACUUAUUAGGUAGCUACAAUAUUCAAGACACAUUCCAGGCAAAGUGAAGGAACACGGAUGGCUGGUGGAGAGUAAGCAGUCUGCAUGGUAUGCUGGCUGGCUGCGGGUGGCCUUGUGGAUCUGGGACAUUGGAAGAACUGCUGUCCUAGGAGAAAAGACUGGCAGAGCAAGCUGGGUUCAGUGGAAGGGCUUGAGCUGUGGGCUGAGCUACAGAUAAGGAGAACCCUACACAGGUUUUAGCUAGGGAGAUGAGGCCAUUAGGGGUAUUCAACUUGAUGGAACCCUUGUAGAAAUAGGUAUGCACAAAACUCUUUAUUCCAUUCACACUCUGUUCAUUUGAAGAGGGGCAAGGUAAAGGGGAAGAAGAGAGAAAAAGGAAAUAAGAGUGAACACCAGAGAAGCAGGAAAGGGAAAAAACAUAUUCUGAGCAAGGAAUCAAAGCAGGACUAGGACUGAAUGGGAAGAUUUUUGUUUGUUUUGUUUUUAAGAGGCAGAGCCUCGAUCUGUCACCUUGGCUGGAGUACAGAGCUACAAUCCUAGUUCGCUGGAGCCUUGAACUCCUGGGAGCAAGUGACCCUCCUGCCUCAGCCUCCUGAGCAGUUGUGAUGACAGGCAUGUGCCACUAUGCUUGGAUACUUUUUUGUAAAAAUUUUUUUUUGUAGAGAUGGCAGUCUCAUUAUGUUGCCUAGGCUAGUCUCAAAUUUCUGGUCUCAAGCAAUUCUCCCACCUCAGCCUCCCAAAGUGCUGGAAUUACAGGUACAAGCCACUGCACCCUGUCUAAAUAAUAAAGUUAAGUAAAUGUUUAGUUGAGAACUAGGUGGAGGACAUAAUCUGCUGCUCCUUGGAGCUGAGAACAUCUGAGAACUCACCCACCAUUUCCUAAACUAGAAGUUAAACUUGUGACCUGUAGUCUACAAGGACCUAAAACUUGGAUUUACUUAAUUUAAUUUUAUCUUUUUGGACUUAUUUAUUUUUGCUUUUAUUUAUAUACCUUAAACAUAUUUUAAAUUUGAGUGCCUUUAGGAGGCUAUGCCAUUCUAUAGUUCAACACUCCCUAUUUUCCUACAUCCAUGUUUAUACACCAGCCUGGCUUCUUUAGGAAUUUGAGUUUGUAGUUCCAACUAGGAGAUAAAGACUUGUUCACUGAAGAUAAAUACAAGGUAUUUGUAUUUCCAUAUGCCUGAAAAUUAAGAAUAUUAAAAUACACCUAGAUAUUUGGAAAGAUAAGUUGCAUACUUUCCUCCCCCAAUAUUUAUAAAGAGAACAGUGGGCUACUUGUGAGAAAUGUAUCAGAUGCUCUCAAAGUGAUUGUCAUGCUUUAUCAGCAGCCAUUAAAAGAGCAUCUGCUACAAAUAUUUAGCCCCCCUGAUGUUUUUGCAUAGUCCUUUGUACCACUGAGCAGAAAUCACUUGGUCAAAUCUCAAUUUUCUCAUUUUCUUCUCUUACUUCAGGAAAACGAAUAGAUUUAUUUUCCUUUUGUUUCUUACUUUUUGAAAAAGGAUAGGAGCCAAUUAAAAGUUACUGAGUAGUAUGUCAUAGUGUGUUAUUCUGUUUCUUGCCGUUGUUGGUUAUCCACAAAAAAUAGCUCUGAUAUGGGCCAACGUACUUAACUAUAUUGUCAAGUACACUGGUAUCCCACAUAUUUUCAUUCAGAUCUGUGCCCCCAAAAUAUCUACAAUUGAUUUCUCUUGAGUUUUAAGGGCAUGUAACUCCUCUGCCACUCUCACCAAUAAGAAUAUUUAUCUGUGUGAGAUUAAGGCAGAAAAAGACAUGUGUAAUUAUGACAGGUCUGCAUUUGACUACUGAGUAAAAUAUUUGAAACACCAAAGGUCUAACUAACAUCAAAGAUGUUAUUAAAAUGUGCACUUAGGAUGGGUGAAUUUUAUUGUAUGUAUAUAACACUUUAAUUUAAAACAUUUUUAAAAUGUAAGAUCUAAGACCACCACUAGAUAAACAAGGCAGAGUGUACAUGCAUUUAUAUUUGCCUCCACUUCAAAUCCUACCAAAAUAAAUGUAAAGAAAAGAAAAAGUUAUAAAUCUAUAGCAGUAAAGUGACCAGAAGUGGAGAAAAUAAUUAAUUAAGGAGAGAUGCUAAUAAAAUUUAGAAUGACUAAAAGUGAAGAGAAGAACCUAAAUCCUACAUACCUGCAGAGAUGGAUACCAGUAAGUAGUCAACCACAGGCCCUCGGAAAAUGACAAUGAUAGAAGGUCUCAGAAAUUGUUUCUAGUACUCCAAAAUGGAGUUACUGAAGUAUGGAGCUGAAAAUGGAGUGAUCAAGAAUCAGACCAAAGAAGGGUCAGCCUGUCUUGAAGAUUUGUGAGAAUGACAACUCAGACUUGGUUCAAGAUUGUUUUUUCCCAUUGGUUCUAGCAAAUCAUUCCCAAGAGAAUUUCAAAACAGAGAUACAAGGGAGUACCCCACUGUCAGAGUCUCUGCAUUUCUCCCACACAG
rnacentral:lncRNA from 1 species